GAGAGAGGAGUCUAGGAUAGACAGUGCAGCAAAAAUACACCAUUAAAUGUACAAUAUGUGACUGAAGGUUGAUCCUCCUUAAAACAAGGUUAAAGAUUUGCUUUACAGUCCAUUAAAUUAAUCAUGUCAACAUAAUAGCAAUAGUCUUAGAAGCAAAAUACUUGGGUUUGUUUGUUUGUUUGUUUGUUUGGCAUUAUUCUUGAAUAUCCAAGGUAAAGCAUUUGACACCAAGAGGCACUCAGUAAACAUUUGUUGGCUGAUUUAAGACCUCUGUCUGUAUAAAAAGUCCAAAUAAUUCAAAUGUCAAAAUAAAGGAUUCGAUUUGAGAAAAUAUAAUAUAAUAUACAUUGGCAGCCAGAAAAAUAAAACAAGUAAAAUAAAAAUAAAAUUCAAAUUAGUAUUACCAAAAAAUAUAAAAUAGAAGUAAGGGAUGAGCACUCAUGAUUUUAUACUAAGAUCUCUGUGUCCAGCUUGUUUGUGUUUUAUUUUUGCAUAUAAUGAUGGCAUAAGACGGUUGGUGUAAUUUUGUUUUGUUUUGUUUCUAAAGUAAAUGUCAGCACUUCUACUCCAAAGAAGAGGUUCUCCCCCUUUAGGCCUCAGUAUUCACAAAUGACGGAUGGAAGGAAGGAAGAGAAGGGAGGUAGAGUCGAAACAGUGAGAGAAAAGGAUAUCCUAUCCCCUAUUUACUUAAAAAGAUAAAUGCUAACUGAACUUUGCUGCCCUCUACCUCUGCACCUCUAUCCUCCAGUGGUACCACUGUUUCCAGUCUAUUCCCUUCCACAUCACUGAUCCUUACUCUGACCUAUACUUUGCUUUCCAUUAUGGGAAGUGAUUGUAUCAUGAGGGUGCAGCCCCAGUGAGUGGGAUUAGUGCCCUUAUAAAAAUAAAAGACUAGGCAUCUCUUCUGUGAAUGUGCUCUUUCUCUCUCAUCUCUUCUCUCUCCCUUCCUCCCUUAUUCCCUUUUCCCUCUCUCCUCCCUGCCAUGUAAGGAUCCAAG
rnacentral:lncRNA from 1 species